GACGAACGCUGGCGGCGUGCCUAAUACAUGCAAGUCGAGCGAAGUUUUUCUGGUGCUUGCACUAGAAAAACUUAGCGGCGAACGGGUGAGUAACACGUAAAGAACCUGCCUCAUAGACUGGGACAACUAUUGGAAACGAUAGCUAAUACCGGAUAACAGCAUUAACUGCAUGGUUGAUAUUUAAAAGUUGGUUUUGCUAACACUAUGAGAUGGCUUUGCGGUGCAUUAGCUAGUUGGUGGGGUAAAGGCCUACCAAGGCGACGAUGCAUAGCCGACCUGAGAGGGUGAUCGGCCACACUGGGACUGAGACACGGCCCAGACUCCUACGGGAGGCAGCAGUAGGGAAUCUUCCGCAAUGGGCGAAAGCCUGACGGAGCAACGCCGCGUGAGUGAAGAAGGAUUUCGGUUCGUAAAGCUCUGUUGUUAGGGAAGAAUGAUUGUGUAGUAACUAUACACAGUAGAGACGGUACCUAACCAGAAAGCCACGGCUAACUACGUG
rnacentral:rRNA from 1 species